CGGGCGGCCCAGAAUAUAAUCAGGUCUACUCUUCGGUAAGAUUUACUACCUCUGGAAGAGCUGAAAGGAAUUCCCUCACUACUUCUACAGCUUUUCUAGUAUAUUUUAUAUUCUAUUUUCAAGUGCUUACUAUUCUUCUAUGCAUCAAAUUAUCAUUCAAUUUUAACAGCUACCCAUGCAUCGAGCAGGUAUCAAUCUUGUUCUCUUGUACCCAUAAGCUAGAAGAGAGCUAUAUGCUUGGAUGGUGCUCGACAUUUCAGGUUACUCCUCUAAAGCAAUGUAGAAUCUCUAUCAUUUAAUUAUCUUGUUGGGUGGAUGUCUGGCCAAGACACCAUCUCUCAAGAUCUUUUCAGUAUCAAGCGAUGCAGCAGGAA
rnacentral:lncRNA from 1 species